UGAGCUCAUCUGUGGAUGUAUUAGCACAGGAUGCGGGAAUCCUGUGAAGCGAGUCAAUUCGGAGCCCGACGUGAACCAGGAGGGGUGGCGGCGGAAGCGCUCACAGCGUGGAGGCCCGUAGUAGGGACGCCAGUCCUCACGGGACUCUCGGGCCUGAACGGCAGAGGACGCUGCUUGGCUGCAAGAGGGAAGUAGGAUAUUGAGCCCUAAAGGAAGAUUUCCAGCCAGGGGGCACCGAGGUAAAGUAAACCCUGAAUAGGAAUAGAUGCAUCGAAGGCCACUGGGGAGAUUCAGAUAAUGUGACUUGGUGUUUGAUAAGGCAGUGAUGUCAUUCUGACUGCAGCCACCACUGUCGGGUUGUGAUCAAACUCUGAUGACCUAUGAGAGCACCGUGAUGUGUUUCUGGAAUGCUUUCCAUGUUCACGAUAUUUUUCCUGACUUCACGUUUAUUACGUGGAUAUGUUGUAAUGUGUUUAACCAUUCAUUUUUCUGGAAUUGGAAUACUGAAUAUUUCCUGACCAGUUCUAUGUCUUUUCUAACCUCUUCAACCUCACCUGACCCCAAGGCCAUGAGGUAAGGUGUGGCUGGAUGGCGUGGCUCCUUUUCAGUCCUGGAAGGUGUGAAUGGAGGGAGGAGGACCUGUUCAGGGCUGGGCUGAGCAGCCUAGUCUCAGGUGCAGAGCAGCUUCCCCAAAGUGGAGGUCUGGCCAGAAAACUGUCUGUUGAAGUGUUUGGGUUUCCUGGGCAUUAGGGGAAGAGUUUGGGUUUGUCUACAGUCCUUCUAAUUUUUUCAUAUUGUUAUGUUUGUACAGUUAGAGGUGUUAUGCAAAAUGGAAUGGAGGAGCCAAAUGUUACUUCCUCUCAUGGUAACCCUAAAUUAUGCUUGCUCUCAUGGUCUCUUUUUCCUUUCCCAGCUCUGGAUUCUCUUUGUUCUUUCCCAGUAGAGGAAUCCCAAGGAGGAGUGAUCUGUUUUGGCAGGUGCAAAACCAUGGAGUGAAAUCAUACAGUGUUUCUUUCUCCAUCUGACUUGUUUUGCUCAAGAUCCAUCCAUGUUGUCUCACAUGGGAUGAGUUUGUCUGUUUUUACGGGUCUUCCAGGUAUAGUGAGGCUGGUCUAUCUGAGACCCCACUGGCUUUCUGUUGGCUCCCAUAGGCGUGGGUGCUGCUGCCCCAUGCAUGACCGGUGAUGCUUGUCCUGGGUUGUCUGAAGGUGCUGGUUGCACUGCUGCCAGGGGUCCUGGGUUCACAGGUGUCACUAUCCCUGCCAGGGACCUGGAGAACUAUAUGUAUCUCCUGCUGCUGCUGAGCUGGUGUUGGGGGGUGCCACCAGUGGGGGCUAGGUCACCAGAUCUGCUGUGUUUCCUGAAGCCUCUGGUCACAGGUUCCACCUGCCAGUGCUGGGGCAAAGGGGCUAUUUCUUCUGCCCCCACCCCGUUUGCUCACAGUUGUGUGGGCCAGGCCACCUCCACUGUGCCAGCAGUCACACAGGCCAGGCUGCCACCAUCCAUGCUCCACUGGCAGUCAGGUGAGCUGGGCUGUCCUCACCACUUGUGCCAAGCCCCUGUGUGAGGAUCCACAACCUGGAUUGCUACCACUCAGGGAGGGGUGGUGGGGGCUUUCUCCCCUAGGUCCACUGCUUACUGGGGGGUUGAGUCCACCCACCUUCAGAUGUAUAGACGCAUGGAUCUCUUAGGCAUCCCUCUACUGCUGUAUAGGAAAUCCUAUGUUGGUCAGUGCAUGUCCAUUUGGCUGUAACUUAGAGGGGCGUGACAAGGGGGAAAAUUCCACCAUGAGGCUGAUGUCACUCAUGUUGUCUCACCUUUUUUGAACUUUCCAAGAAACCAGUUUAAAAAAAACUAUUGUGGUCUAACUAGUUUAUAACAUUUUGAAAUUUCAGUUGUACAUCAGUAUUUAUCAAACACCAUAUCAAUGUGCCACCGCACCCCUUGUACCCACUCUCCUGCUGCCACAGUAACCACUAAAUUGUUCUCUUCAUCCAUAAGUUUGUUUAUAUUCCACAUAUGAGUGAAAUCAUAUGUUCUUUUCUCUCUCUGUGUGGCUUAUUUCUCUCAACAUGAUGCCCUCAAGUUCCACCAAUGUGGUUGUGAACGGGACGAUUAUGUGGAGUAGUAUUCCAUUGUAUAUAUAUAUACCACAUCAUCUUUAUCCAAUCAUCAGUCGUUGGGCACUUGGGUUGCU